ACCUUCUUUCCAUUCUCUUAUAUCACUAUCAUUCUCUCUCUCUCAAAAAUUAUAUUUUUCCACCCAUAAUAAUAAUAAUAAUAAGGUCCUGCCCCGUUUUAAGUAUUUUAACCCUUGACCACUGAUACCCUGUCCGACUGACGUAGGGCCCCGUAACGUAUGUCAAGGCUCUGCCUACAUUCGUUGGGGUUCUGUCUCGUGACGUAGGGACAAAGUAGGAUUGGGUUACUAUACUUGAUGUGGGUGCACUCUAUAUUUUAUUAAAUAACCCAGGAGUGAUACCCAAAAUAUAACAACCCUCCUAAAACAUCCCUGACACCCUACACUUCCUAAAAUACACCCCGUAUGUGAAAACCAAGCCCGAAAUACAAUAUAUAAAUUAAAAACAAGAAAGAGUAAGUUGAGGCGGGCCGCGUAGACCCACCCCAACCAUUCACGCGGGCCGUAUGAGGGUUAUACCGGAUUCCUUUGAUUUCUUAAAGCUCAAGCGGGUCGCGUAAAGAUCUUCGAUUAGUUAACGCGGGCCGCGAGAGGUUGGAAAAGUGGCGCAGCCUUGGGCCGCCACGUGGCAAACACCCGUCAAGCCUACACAUCAACUCAGCAUAGCUAUACGUUGACUUUGGGUCAACGCGGGCCGCGUAAGACUUGUCCCCAUUUGACGCGGGCCGCGAGAGAGUCCAGUAUCAGCCCUAUAAAUUGGAUCGUCGAGCCUUCAGUCUGCUUCGUUCAAAAUCAAUUCUUUCUCUCUCAAAAUUAAAUAGUGGGCAUUAUACACGGGCAUUAUACCCCCCUAAUUAGCGAAGCUCUGCCUCGUUGUAAGUAUCAUAACCCCUGGAUACGUAUUAGAUAUUCUGCCCGAUUGAUUUAGGGUUCCGUAACGGCUGUCGCGGUUCUGCCCGACGUAGUCGUUGGAAUACCGUCUCGGGGAGAAUAUUACUAAUGUUAAAAUGGGUUAUUAUACUAACGCGUGUGCAUUGUUUAUUUAAUUAGACUAUAACCAAGGAAUCACAAAGGAAAGCCUUAUCAUAGCAAUGUGAGUUGAUCCACUUUUUGUUAAAUGUUUUUACAAAACCUUGCAUACUUUUCUAUGCAAGUAAUUUAGUGUAAAGCCAAUAGAAGCCAGCUGGAGAGCACUGAAGGCUUGGAAAAGUGGCAAUAAAGUUACCUGAAAUAAAAUAGAUGUUUUUAUUAAAUAAAAUAGGAUUUAUUCCUAUAAAAAUGUAUGUACUGAAAAACUUGGGUUUUAUCCCAUGUGUUUAAUAUAAUGAAAAUAUGGUGGUUUUACUCUG
rnacentral:lncRNA from 1 species